rnacentral:rRNA from 1 species
UACGUAGGUCGCAAGCGUUGUCCGGAUUUACUGGGCGUAAAGAGCGCGCAGGCGGCUGGUCAAGUCCGAUGUGAAAUCUCCCGGCUCAACUGGGAAACUGCAUCGGAAACUGAUCGGCUUGAAGAUGGGAGAGGGUAGUGGAAUUCCAGGUGUAGCGGUGAAAUGCGUAGAUAUCUGGAGGAACACCGGUGGCGAAGGCGGCAUCCUGGACCGAGAUUGACGCUGAGGCGCGAAAGCCAGGGGAGCAAACGGG